AUUCCAUGAUGUGGGCAUCUCCUUUAAAGAUCCUUGUAUCUCUCCCAUGCUUCAUAGAGACUCUCAUCAUCCCUUGGUCUGAAAGAAGUUAAUUCAUUCCUCAAUUU